UACGUAGGCAGCAAGCGUUGUUCGGAAUUACUGGGCGUAAAGGGUGCGUAGGCGGCUUUUUAAGUCAGUGGUGAAAUCUCCGAGCUCAACUUGGAAACUGCCAUUGAUACUAUUGAUCUUGAAUUCUGUUGAGGUUGGCGGAAUAAGUCAUGUAGCGGUGAAAUGCAUAGAUAUGACUUAGAACACCGAUUGCGAAGGCAGCUAACUAAACAGAUAUUGACGCUGAGGCACGAAAGCGUGGGGAUCAAACAGG
rnacentral:rRNA from 1 species